AGAUAAUGGACUUAUAUGAGAUAAAUAUAUUUGAAGACGACGUGAUUGAAGUGAAAAACUUUGGUAGAGAAGAAAGGUAUUGCCAUUUGCCAAGAGCUCAAUUUAAUUUUGUUGGAAGAAUGAAUCUUGAAAGUUAAUAACUUGUUCACAUUUUUACUAUUUUGAUUAGUUUUUGAAGGAGUUAAAGUACAUCAAUAUGAGUUCCUUCCGAGAACUAAAGUUAGAUCAGUUUUUAAAGGUUGUGAAAAUCUUAGCAAGGCAUAAAUUACGU
rnacentral:lncRNA from 1 species